rnacentral:lncRNA from 1 species
CUGCUGCCCUAGUCUGCGGGGGAGCCCUGUCUCCUCCAUAAGAGGAGCUCUCUGGGUAGAUGGGACCCUCCUCAAGUGGCAGUGAGAUGGAGAGACUCGCAGAGAGCUGCUAUGUCCCUUCACCACCGCCGGGCAGUGAGGAAGAUGAUGCCGGAGGAAGAUGGGCACAAGCUUGCAGCCCACAGCAGCGGCAGACCUCAGCCUGCCCCGUACCUUUGCUCUUAGGACAUGUAAUCCAAGAACAACCCAUGGGAUGAGGGUCACAAAACCCUGGCAAAGGGACUGGGGUGACAGGGGACAUCCCAUCACCGUGCUGAGAAAGGCCACCAAACCUGAACAGCUCGCACUCCUACCGCAGUGUGGAGGGGCAUCCUCACUUGUGAGCACAGCACGGGGCGGCCAUGGAGGUGUCUCGGAUCUUUCACCAAGCAUCACAAGCUUUGGGCGCUUUUCCCUUCCCUCCGCGUGUGUGUGGCUGCCACACUGCUCCCCGGCCGGGCGCUGGGAGCCCUUGGCCGAGCGCCGGGCCCGGCAGCAGCAGCAGCAGCAUCGGGGAGUGUUUAAGCGCCCCCCGGGGCCCUCCCGGCUGGGCGCAAAGUGCGGGAGCAGCUGCCUGUUUACAGCGGGAGGGUGCAAAUUGGCCUUCGGGGAGAGCAGCACCGCAUCUCCCUGCGGCUCGGCUCGCCACGGAGACCUCCAGCUGAGGAAAACAACCAGGAAGGAGCAAAGCUGUCAUCACCAGCCCCGAACUUGUUAGGAGGAAUAAAAGGCUAACCUGAGAGGCA